UAGCAAGUUAGUAAGGGCAUACGGUGGAUGUCUUGGCACCAGGAGCCGAUGAAGGACGUAGGAGACUGCGAAAAGUCUAGGGGAGCUGUCAACCGAGCUGAGAUCCUAGAAUUUCCGAAUGGGGAAACCCGGACCCAGUCAUGUGGGUUCACCCAUACCUGAACACAUAGGGUAUGUGGAGGGAACGCGGGGAAGUGAAACAUCUCAGUACCCGCAGGAAGAGAAAACAACCGUGAUUCCGUGAGUAGUGGCGAGCGAAAGCGGAAGAGGCUAAACCGCGUCUGUGUGAUACCCGGCAGGGGUUGCAUUCGCGGGGUCGUGGGACCUCUUGGCUAGUUCUGCCGAGCUAGCAAACAGUCAGAAACCAUUGUGGUUAGAGGAACGUGUCUGGAAAGCACGAGCGUAGAGGGUGAAACUCCCGUACUCGAAAACCCGAUGGCUGUUUAGAGUGUUCCCAAGUAGCAGCGUACUCGUGAAAUUCGCUGUGAAUCUGGCGGGACCACCCGCUAAGCCUAAAUACUCCCUGGUGACCGAUAGCGGACUAGUACCGUGAGGGAAAGAUGAAAAGUACCCCGGGAGGGGAGUGAAAUAGUACCUGAAACCGUGUGCCUACAAUCCGUCGGAGCCUUUAGGGGUGACGGCGUGCCUUUUGAAGAAUGAGCCUGCGAGUUAGUGCUACGUGGCGAGGUUAACCCGUGUGGGGUAGCCGUAGCGAAAGCGAGUCUGAAUAGGGCGCUUGAGUCGCGUGGUCUAGACCCGAAGCGGUGUGAUCUAGCCAUGGCCAGGGUGAAGCGCGGGUAAGACCGCGUGGAGGCCCGAACCCACCAGGGUUGAAAACCUGGGGGAUGAGCUGUGGUUAGGGGUGAAAGGCCAAUCAAACACCGUGAUAGCUGGUUCUCCCCGAAAUGCAUUUAGGUGCAGCGUCGUGUGUUUCACCACGGGGGUAGAGCACUGGAUGGUCUAGGGGGCCCACAAGCUUACCGAAAUCAACCAAACUCCGAAUACCGAGGUGUGAGAGCGCGGCAGUGAGACUGCGGGGGAUAAGCUUCGUAGUCGAGAGGGAAACAGCCCAGAACGCCAGCUAAGGUCCCUAAGUGUGUGCUAAGUGGGAAAGGAUGUGGGGUCGCACAGACAGCCAGGAGGUUGGCUUAGAAGCAGCCACCCUUUAAAGAGUGCGUAAUAGCUCACUGGUCAAGUGGUCCUGCGCCGACAAUGUAGCGGGGCUUAAGCACACCACCGAAGCUGUGUCAUUUCGACUUGUACUCGGGAUGGGUAGGGGAGCGUCGUGUAGCGGUUGAAGCGGCGGAGUAAUCCAGCCGUGGACGCUAUGCGAGUGAGAAUGCAGGCAUGAGUAGCGAAAGACGAGUGAGAAACUCGUCCGCCGGAUGACCAAGGGUUCCUGGGCCAGGCUAAUCCGCCCAGGGUAAGUCGGGACCUAAGGCGAGGCCGACAGGCGUAGUCGAUGGACAACGGGUUGAUAUUCCCGUACCCGUGUGAACGCGCCCAUGAUGAACCUUGUGAUACUAACCGCCCGAAGCACCUCCAGAAGCCCUUCGGGGCUAUGGGGACUGUGGAGCGCGGGACCUGAACUUGUAGUAGUCAAGCGAUGGGGUGACGCAGGAGGGUAGCUCCGCCAGUGAGUGGUAGUACUGGUGCAAGCGUGUAGGCCGAACUGUAGGCAAAUCCGCAGUUCACAUAGGCUGAGACGUGAUGCGUAGCCGAUUGAGGCGAAGUAGAGUGAUCCCAUGCUGCCGAGAAAAGCCUCUAGCGAGCUUUCACGCGGCCCGUACCCCAAACCGACACAGGUGGUCAGGUAGAGAAUACCAAGGCGAUCGGGCGAACUGUGGUUAAGGAACUCGGCAAAAUGCCCCCGUAACUUCGGGAGAAGGGGGCCGUAGCGCUUGAAGCCUCUUGCAGGCUAGGGCGAGACGGCCGCAGAGACCAGCGAGAAGCGACUGUUUACUAAAAACACAGGUCCAUGCGAAGUCGCAAGACGAUGUAUAUGGACUGACG
rnacentral:ncRNA from 1 species